UACAGAGGGGGCGAGCGUUGUUCGGAAUUACUGGGCGUAAAGGGCGCGUAGGCGGCCCGCUAAGUCGAACGUGAAAUCCCCAGGCUCAACCUGGGAACUGCGUCCGAUACUGGCAGGCUUGAAUCCGGGAGAGGGAUGCGGAAUUCCAGGUGUAGCGGUGAAAUGCGUAGAUAUCUGGAGGAACACCGGUGGCGAAGGCGGCAUCCUGGACCGGCAUUGACGCUGAGGCGCGAAAGCCAGGGGAGCAAAGCGGG
rnacentral:rRNA from 1 species